rnacentral:lncRNA from 1 species
GUGGUGGUUAAGGGCACACCCUUACUCAAGGCUGUGUUUUAGUUGAAAUCCAUUUUCUUACAUGUGUUCCUAUAUUCAUCUCUGUGAAUUACAAAGAUAAGAUAUUGAACCAAAGCAGUCUAAAUAAUGGCAAGCUUCUUCUGAUUCACAAUAUGUGGAUACAGUCCAAGCUUCGUCAUUCUGGAUCCACAUCCUUCAAAUGUUGCCCACCGUGUGAUAGGUGAGUUACUGCCUGCCAGGAAUGCCUCGUGAAGGACUCCUGAAUUACUUGAAAACAUACUAGAGAGAGAAACACACCAAGGAAUUUCUGGUGGUAUUCCACUUCCAAGGAUCCUCGAGGUUUCUGCUGGAUGGAGCCACUGCUGCUGACUUUGGUGUUUGCUAUUGGACUGGACUGCUGAUAUCCUGACAACAAAGAUUGGAACUACCCCUAAAAACUACUUCUAAGACUGAAAGGUAUGAAGAUCUGUGGCAAGAGGCAUGUCAGAGAAUAAGCCGAAGAAUUCUGUUAUUUUAUAGCAUUAGAUCUUCUUUCCUGUCAAAUCUGUCACUUGUGCCCUGACUCUGGCUGGGAUGAAGAGAACAAGAUGGAAAUAAAGAUAUGGAAUGCAGUGUACACUAUGUGUUUCUGCACUAACUUCCUGAAUGACUUCCUGGAUUGUGUUGCUGGAGAUGGCUCUCUGUGGACUCCUGUAUCAAUGUUUCCCUGGCAUGGGGGCAGAGCAGUCUCAGUGGUAUGUUUCUAGCUGCUGUCCCAGCCUAAAGGAUUUAAUUAUGCGUGAAGAGUUGAAACUGGAUUAUUUCUUGUUUCUUGAAUGUUGUAUGUUCCAGGCUUUGAGCCUUAGCCUACCUGAAACUCUUUCUUGCUAUCUACAGACAACCUUAUGUUUCUGGGGUCAUCUCAAAUGCUGUUCUUUCUAUAAAAUAUUUGUCCUAGAAGUGAUCCUUAGUUGAUUUUCUUACAUCACUAGCUUCUUUUAUCCACCAUUGUAGUUAUUUGUGUCCUUAUUUCAUUUUCAUAUGGAAACUAUAAACUCUGAAGAAAGGGAGAAGUGUAACAAAUUUAUGUGCUGAUUAUUUAUUCACUUAAAAAGCAUUGGUUUUCCUUAAGCUAUGGAUGAGAAUUGAGUUACUAGGGCAUUCAGCAAAUAUGAGGUGGAUUCUAUUAAAUGCUGUUAUAACAUAUACUGACCACUUUCUUAAAUAUAUUAAUUUUUGUCUGCAGAUUCACCCAUCCAUAUUCCAAAACUAUUGGUUAAAUAUUUUAGAAGGUUGAAAAAGCAAAACUUAAUUUGUAAUAUGUGUAAACUGUCUGAAUUAUUAAACUAUGUAUAGGGUAUGCCCUGCU